GCGCGUAAAUUGCCCGAAUCCUGACACAGGGAGGUAGUGACAAGAAAUAACAAUACAGGGCUACAUCUAGUCUUGUAAUUGGAAUGAGUACAAUUUACAUCUCUUCACGAGGAUCCAUUGGAGGGCAAGUCUGGUGCCAGCAGCCGCGGUAAUUCCAGCUCCAAUAGCGUAUAUUAAAGUUGUUGCAGUUAAAACGCUCGUAGUCGGAUUUCGGGGCGGGGCCGCCGGUCUGCCGAUGGGUAUGCACUGGCGGUCGCGUCCUUCCUUCCGGAGACUGGCCCUACUCUUAACUGAGCGGGGUCGGGAGACGGAUCGUCUACUUUGAAAAAAUCAGAGUGUUUCGAGCAGGCAGCUCGCUCUUGCAUGGAUUAGCAUGGGAUAAUGAAAUAGGACUUUGGUGCUAUUUUGUUGGUUUCGAACACCGAAGUAAUGAUUAACAGGGACAGUCAGGGGCACUCGUAUUCC
rnacentral:rRNA from 1 species